GACGGUGGCAGUAGUCUGACACAGGUCAACUUGACUGACGAUGACAAGAAGAAGCAUACAGUCAGCGAACUCAGCUAAACCUAAAUGAAAUGGCGGCCAAAUUCCUGUGGAAUGAAUGAAAAGGAAAUCUGCGAGUGGCAGCCCAGCCACAAGCGCCCUCUCUGGAAGUCGAGCGGUGGAAAAGCCGUGGCCCUUCCUCUGGCCAGGGCCUGCUAGGGUGUCCGGGCUCUCCCUUAGAGAUUGGGUGAGAAACUCGGUCAUCCGGGAGCCGCUGCUCCUUCACAUCGAGAGGAGCCACAUGAGGUGGCUCGGGCAUCUGAUUUGGAUGCCUCCCUGGUGAGGUGUUCCGGGCACGUCCCAGGACACACUGGAAAGACCACGUCCUUCGGCUGGCCUGGGAACGCCUCGGGAUCCUCCCGGAAGAGCUGGAUGAAGUGGCUGGAGAGGGGGAAGUCUGGGCGUCCCUGCUAAAGCUACUGCCCCCGCGACCCGACCUCGGAUAAGCGGUAGAAAAUGGAUGGAUGGAUGGAUGGUUGUGAAAUAUGAAAGGAUGUAUCUAUUCAAUUAAAUGCGAAUUACUUUCAAAAAGUUGGAAUGGUCUUAAUUGGUGGCGAAAUGCGGAAGAAGUGCAAGAGUGAAAAUUGUAAUUUUGGUGCGAAACAACAUCGUCACUGUCGAGCGCAAACCUUGUAUAUCCAAAUAUGAUCAAUUUAAUAUACUUUCACAAAUCGAUACUAUUGAUCCGUCCCCACGUUGUCGGUUAUUUUUGCACAUUACUAACCAAUUUUUAAGUAUUGAAAAUAAAAUCUAUUAACUCUCUUGAAUGAACAACUGCUCAAACUGUAGUAAAACUCCGCCUCCUCCCUCAAUCUGCGGGAGCCGUUCGUGCGGGAUUAUGUCGCCUCAAGAUUGAAAGUCUGAAUGUUUUGUAGACAAUAACUAGUGAAAAUAGGGUAAAUGCAUUUUAGUAAACCUGUUUUUUUGUGGAUCGCUGUACUGCUUUGGUGCAGAAGGAACUGGUCAGCCACAAAGGUAAGUGCCUAGAGAUUAAUUUCUGCCUGUGAAACCGCUUAGUCGGUUCAUCACCUCAAGGCUCUAAGACUAUUGAGAAAGUGUUUGGAAAGAUGAUGUAAUCACAUUCGUUUGCUUUUGUGAAGUAUUAAACUCAUUUGUCUGGU